rnacentral:rRNA from 1 species
AGCGAACGCUGGCGGCAGGCUUAACACAUGCAAGUCGAGCGGGCACUUUCGGGUGUCAGCGGCGGACGGGUGAGUAACGCGUGGGAACGUGCCCUCUGGUUCGGAAUAACUCAGGGAAACUUGAGCUAAUACCGGAUACGCCCUUUUGGGGAAAGGCUUGCUGCCGGAGGAUCGGCCCGCGUCUGAUUAGCUAGUUGGUUAGGUAACGGCUCACCAAGGCGACGAUCAGUAGCUGGUCUGAGAGGAUGAUCAGACACACUGGGACUGAGACACGGCCCAGACUCCUACGGGAGGCAGCAGUGGGGAAUAUUGGACAAUGGGCGCAAGCCUGAUCCAGCCAUGCCGCGUGAGUGAUGAAGGCCUUAGGGUUGUAAAGCUCUUUUAUCCGGGACGAUAAUGACGGUACCGGAGGAAUAAGCCCCGGCUAACUUCGUG